rnacentral:rRNA from 1 species
AGUGAACGCUGGCGGUAGGCCUAACACAUGCAAGUCGAACGGCAGCACAGUAAGAGCUUGCUCUUACGGGUGGCGAGUGGCGGACGGGUGAGGAAUGCAUCGGAAUCUACUUUUUCGUGGGGGAUAACGUAGGGAAACUUACGCUAAUACCGCAUACGACCUACGGGUGAAAGCAGGGGAUCUUCGGACCUUGCGCGAUUGAAUGAGCCGAUGUCGGAUUAGCUAGUUGGCGGGGUAAAGGCCCACCAAGGCGACGAUCCGUAGCUGGUCUGAGAGGAUGAUCAGCCACACUGGAACUGAGACACGGUCCAGACUCCUACGGGAGGCAGCAGUGGGGAAUAUUGGACAAUGGGCGCAAGCCUGAUCCAGCCAUACCGCGUGGGUGAAGAAGGCCUUCGGGUUGUAAAGCCCUUUUGUUGGGAAAGAAAGGCAGCAGGUUAAUACCCCGCUGUUCUGACGGUACCCAAAGAAUAAGCACCGGCUAACUUCGUG